rnacentral:rRNA from 1 species
GUCUACGGCCAUACCACCCUGAACGUGCCCGAUCUCGUCUGAUCUUGGAAGCUAAGCAGGGUCGGGCCUGGUUAGUACUUGAAUGGGAGGAAUAGACACACGCAUGUAAACU